GUCAGCUUUUAAAUGGGUCUAGGAGAGGUGGAGCCAGACUCCACCCCUUCCUGGUAGCACAGGUGAAUUGCCUUCACCUGUGCUCCUGUGGCUGACUCAUUGCUCACCUCAGGUGGUCAAUCAGAGGUUUGGGCUGUGAUUCAGCAGUUUCCAUACUCCUGUGUAUAAAAAUCUGUUUCUAGGGAACUAAUCUUUAGCUCUGUCUGUGAAAUGCCAUAGAAAAGCCAUGAUGUGCUCAGAGUGAGGGGAAAAUCAAUGUUGCUGACAUACCAAUGUUCAUAGCUUCUGUGAAGCAGUGCUGUACAGAGCCAAGGCCAUUCUCAAUGAAGAACCCAAGAAACUGGGAGGGAGCAGAAUUAGGAGAGGGGGAGCGAGCAAAUGACUACAUGGUGCUGAGCCACCUGCCAGAUAAACCACAACAGUCCUCCUUAGAUUUGCAGACCAUCCUGCAUGCACUGAUCAGCAUUCCAGAAGCCUGGCCUUGUCUUACCAACAUUCCUGAAAAUGCCACUGUUGCUGAUUUAAUGCUAGGGCUGGGAAUUCUUCAUAACUCAUCUGACUUCACUCCUUUCCCCAGAGCCGGUGCAGAGCAUUGCUGUGCUGAUGGAGCAUCUGCACGAGGCUGUAGUUUCCCCAGUGUCCCAGGAUGGGUCCAAGGCACUCAGAGGUGGUGAGGAAAGACAAAUUGUGCAGCGUUGCCAAAUGAGGGGAAAUAAGGAAGAAACCACUUGUGCUUGAGGAUGAUGCUAUGGAACAGGAAGAUCCCCUCUUCCCCUCCUCCCCAGUCCUCCCUGCCUCCCACAGCUCCUCAGCCUUUUGACCCUCUGGAAAAUGGCUUCAACUCUCCAGCCUUAGAAGCAUUUAUCAUAUUUUCUGCUGUGUCAGUUUUUCUGCUAGCUUAGUGAUUUGAAGCCGUUUGGGAGAAUGGCAGCAAGAGGGCAGGAUGUGCAGGAGGAGGAGGGAAGAGAAGGGAAAACGGGCUUAAACAGAGAGAUACACAACCUCUUAUUCCUAUUUUACUGGUGUGUGGGGGCACUGGCCAGAUAAUGAGCCAUUGAGUGUCAAUGUCUUGAUGAGGCACUCGGGAAGUAGCUCUUAAGCAAAUAAUGUAUAUUUGUAUAUAUUCACAGACAUACACACAAAUACAUAGACACUCCAAAGCCUGUGAGCUGCAGCAGCCCCUUGGAUACACCGAGAGCUUUUUCAUCUGGAAGAGGAUCUGGGGGCAGCUGGUUGGUUUGCUUCUUUUCCUGGACAGCCCCAGCACCAGCUGCUGCUGCCAGAGCUUGGGGAGAGGGAUGUAAAGGACUGAAGGGCUCUAGUCUGUUAAUUUAUUGGAAUGAAUAUAAAUUAAUGCUUUUCUUUAGCUUGCAGUUAUUAAAGGCCAGGAGGACUCAUGACCGUGCUCUUUUAUCACUGGUGACAAUAAUGCAUUAAUCACCCUUGAUGGUUCCUAUGGCCCUGUUACAGGUGAGGGAAGCAGACACAAAGGCUGGGUGAAGGCAAACAAUCACACACUCUCCAGCUGCUCCAGGCACAACCCAACCAGUCUGGGGGACUCCAGGUAAUUCUAAUGUUAUGAAUCUGCUCCCAUGACAGAGGUGCUGAACUGCUGUGCCACAUAUAAGAUCACUGAAUUGUCCUUCCCAUCUUCUCACGAAAGACUAAUCUUCACUGCCAUGGCUGCAUAGAGCUUUUUCCCCAUGAAAACUGGAGGAAAUAUGACAAAAAAAAAGGUGAAGAAUUUGAAGCAGGAUUAGAGUAUGGCACUCGCUGGCCAAUCCUAUAAGCACUAAAAUGCUUCACCAGUUUAAUGUCAUUUCAGAGGGUAAUCCUCAGCCAGCCUUGUCUAGAGACACUAGCAGGCUGCUUUGGCACUCAGCGGUGCAAAUCAUUGAGUUGCACAGUGAAGUACAAGGCGAAGGAAUGAUGAAGUGCUUUCAUGUACCUAUUUCACCUGACCUUAACACCCUGGCUCCUUCAUAAAGUGAAUUCUGCUCCAUUACAGUAGUCCGAGUCCUUUGAAGUCAAUGGAGUUGUGUUAAAUUAACAGCUAUACCUUAGUUUGAUGAUCUUGUACAGCAGUGAGCCGAAAUUAUGUUUUGGUACAUCUCAAUGAUACUUUUGGGAUAGUCUGACCUCUGCAUCACUCCUUGAGUGAACAAGGGGAUAUUUUCAGAUUUUGUCAGUCUUUGCUUUUGCCACACUUCUUCAAGAGAGAUAAGUAAGCAGUGAGACAAAUAUAUAGACAGAUUACUACUCCUGAUCUCUGCAUCACUCCUUGAGUAAUCCUCCCAAAAGAUAAAAGAACAUUUUAGGAAAGCCACAUACAUAGAAAAUAGAGCUGAACUUGUAGAACUGAAUGUACAAACAUACUCCCACCUGUCCAAGGGUCAAAGAGUUACUGGGACAGAUGUAAUAAAAGAGCUGCAACAAGGAAAUUCA
ensembl:lncRNA